rnacentral:rRNA from 1 species
GACGAACGCUGGCGGCGUGCUUAACACAUGCAAGUCGAACGAGAGCGUAGAGAAAGCUUGCUUUUUCUACAAUCUAGUGGCAAACGGGCGAGUAACGCGUAAACAACCUGCCCUACGGAUGGGGACAACAGCUGGAAACGGCUGCUAAUACCGAAUACGUUCCGAAAGUCGCAUGACUAUCGGAAGAAAGGAUGGCCUCUAUUUAUAAGCUAUCGCCGGAGGAGGGGUUUGCGUCUGAUUAGCUAGUUGGAGGGGUAACGGCCCACCAAGGCGACGAUCAGUAGCCGGUCUGAGAGGAUGAACGGCCACAUUGGAACUGAGACACGGUCCAGACUCCUACGGGAGGCAGCAGUGGGGAAUCUUCCGCAAUGGGCGAAAGCCUGACGGAGCAACGCCGCGUGAGUGAAGACGGCCUUCGGGUUGUAAAGCUCUGUUAUACGGGACGAAUAAUCUUGUGGUUAAUACCCAUGAGAAGUGACGGUACCGUAAGAGAAAGCCACGGCUAACUACGUG